rnacentral:rRNA from 1 species
UACAGAGGGUGCGAGCGUUGUCCGGAAUCACUGGGCGUAAAGGGCGCGUAGGCGGUCUUUUAAGCGUGUGGUGAAAGCCCGGGGCUCAACCCCGGGUCGGCCGUGCGAACUGGGAGACUGGAGCAUGUCAGAGGCGGGCGGAAUUCCGGGUGUAGCGGUGGAAUGCGUAGAGAUCCGGAAGAACACCGGUGGCGAAGGCGGCCCGCUGGGACAUGGCUGACGCUGAGGCGCGACAGCGUGGGGAGCAAACAGG